rnacentral:rRNA from 1 species
CCUACGGGUGGCUGCAGUGAGGAAUAUUGGGCAAUGGGCGAAAGCCUGACCCAGCAACGCCGCGUGGAGGAUGAAGGCUCUAGGGUUGUAAACUCCUUUUGUGGGGGAAAAGAGAGGAUGGUACCCCAAGAAUAAGUCACGGCUAACUACGUGCCAGCAGCCGCGGUAAUACGUAGGUGACAAGCGUUAUCCGGAAUUACUGGGCGUAAAGCGCACGCAGGCGGUGUUAUAAGUCUGAUGUGAAACCUUCUGGCUUAACCAGAAGACGUCGUUGGAUACUGUAACACUUGAGGCGAUGAGAGGAAUGCGGAAUUCUCGGUGUAAUGGUGGAAUAUGUAGAUAUCGAGAGGAACAUCUGUGGCGAAAGCGGCAUUCUAGCAUUAGCCUGACGCUCAUGUGCGAAAGCGUGGGGAGCAAACGGGAUUAGAUACCCGAGUAGUC